CUGGGGAGUUGUAUCAGCCCGGAAUUUUCACUUUCAUAUCUGUAUAUUGCUUGAGUUUUCUAAAGCAAGUUUGUAUUACUUUUGUGAUCAGAAAAAGCAAUAAAGAGAAAUUAUUUCCUUGAGGGUAGAACUGUUGGGAAGGAAUGAGGCCUUUUAGAAAACAAUUUCUGGAAAGUCUUAUGAAAGUUCAGGUAAGCUUCUGUUGCUAGGGAGUUGCUAAGGAACAUCACGUUUCUAAUGGAAAGCUACCAAGCAGUGAUGGAUGGGGGAGGAAAAUGCCCUAUUCCUCUAACGGGUAGGAGAACGCUCUUUCCUCUGGUUGGAAGGGAGCCGGGCUCAGUGCAUGGCUACGGUACCAGGAGGGAAUGUCUGCUUUGCCUUUCGGAAAAAGCCGGGAGAUUGCAUAUGUGCCAAGGCUGCAGCCUCCAGAUGCCUCCGAAGCUGAUGAUUCUUCAUGAAUCAAGAGUGGAACUGGGUUUAAAACAAAGUAGCUCUGACCCUUCCCAGUGGCCGCUCCCUCCCCCGCGGCUCCAGGUCUCAGCCAGCCCUUUGGUCCUAAGGAUGCAACCUGCCCUCCGUGGUAAGUCCCUGGGCUCCCUGCCAUCUCUUGGGUGUCCCCUGGCCCUGCCCACACCUCUGCUCAAGGCCAGGAGUCUUUUCACUUGAGUCUCUCCAUUUGAACUGUGCUUCCCGCCAGGUUCCUGAUGGAUACACAGGAGUCCUGCAUCCCCCCUACUUUUGUCUUACUUCCCCGUGAUGACAUUUUUGGGCAACUGUGCAAUAAACCCCUAUCAUAGUGCUUGGGGCGCA
ensembl:lncRNA